UACGUAGGGUGCAAGCGUUGUCCGGAAUUAUUGGGCGUAAAGAGCUCGUAGGCGGUCUGUCGCGUCUGCUGUGAAAACUCGGGGCUUAACCCCGGGCCUGCAGUGGGUACGGGCAGACUAGAGUGCGGUAGGGGGAGACUGGAAUUCCUGGUGUAGCGGUGAAAUGCGCAGAUAUCAGGAGGAACACCGGUGGCGAAGGCGGGUCUCUGGGCCGUAACUGACGCUGAGGAGCGAAAGUGUGGGGAGCGAACAGG
rnacentral:rRNA from 1 species